GAGACGUUGGCUGCUUUGGAGGAGGUGUGGCAUCGUGGUUCAAGGCUGCUCUAUAGUCUUCAUGUGCCACACUGCUCCACACUUCAUGUAUGUAAUACGCUGCAGUAAAGCCUGUGAUUCGUGUUUGGUAGCUUUCUGAGAUCCUGCUUACAAUUGGUUGUUCACCGAUGAAUGACAAGGAAGGGGGUGUAUGCCAGUAACGUAUACAAGAGGGCAUUCCACUGCCUGGGCCCCGCGUAUGGUAAUCUGAAUUAUUUUAUAUUUGGGGGUUAUGUGAUAUUUUUCCCCCCCCCCCUUCCUUUUUAUAUUAUCUUGCAGCCUGAUCAGCACUGGAUACAGAUCUAUCAACAGUCGGAGGCUCCCUGUUAUAAAUAAAAUAGAAGAAGGGCUCUGAAGAGGGGACAAAGCUGCUUAUUCCUUACAUUGGUCAUUUAUCUCUAUCCCUGAUUAAUAGUUUGUGUACAAAGUAACACCACGAGAUUAGGAUGAUGAUAUGUUAAUAAAUGACAGCCCUUCUGAAAUUUGAGCAACGUAAGCACAUCGUCUUAUCUCAUGCACAUUGCCAUUCAUACUUUUUUUCUUUAUUUGCAAGGAAUACAAUGGUGGAUUGGCGGGGGGAGGGGAAGGGGAUGGGAAGUGGUUCACACAGUAAAAACAAAAAAUGUAGAGUGGAGGUAGCAGGAACCUACUGAAAUUUAAAGCAUUUCAUUUUUCACCACCCGGAGCCUCUUUUCAGUGUGCUUUCAUUUUGUUCACUUGUUGCAGACUUAUACUUUUACUAUUUAAGUUCGACAUAACAGAUCUGUAAGUAUAAUAGUUUUUAUGAGGAGGGGGGGUGGUGAUUGGUUAUAUACAUGGUUAGACCUUAUUGUUAGUCAAUUAGCAGGGAUCUUGUUCUGCUUUUAUAUAUGAUCAAGCAUCUAUGACUUGUGAAUUUAUUUCCCCUUGGACUAAAAAUGUUUUUUUUUUGUUUGUUUUUUUUGAAUGAGUAUAGUAGCUACAGAUCUAGCAAAACGAUGACUGAGGCUUCGUGUGUUUUAAAACUA